rnacentral:rRNA from 1 species
CCUACGGGUGGCAGCAGUGGGGAAUAUUGCACAAUGGGGGAAACCCUGAUGCAGCGACGCCGCGUGCGUGAAGAAGUAUUUCGGUAUGUAAAGCUCUAUCAGUAGGGAAGAAACCCACCCUACGGGGUGGCUGACGGUACUUGACCAUGAAGCCCCGGCUAACUACGUGCCAGCAGCCGCCGUAAUACGUAGGGGGCAAGCGUUAUCCGGAUUUACUGGGUGGAAAGGGAGCGUAGGUGGCAAGGCAAGUCAGAUGUGAAAACCCGGGGCCCAACCCCGGGAGUGCAUCUGAAACUGUCUGGCUUGAGUGCAGGGAAGGUAAGUGGAAUUCCUAGUGUAGCGGUGAAAUGCAUAGAUAUUAGGAGGAACACCAGUGGCGAAGGCGGCUUACUGGACUGUAACUGACGCUGAGGCUCGAAGGCGUGGGGAGCAAACAGGAUUAGAUACCCGGGUAGUC